AAUUGGAGGGCAAGUCUGGUGCCAGCAGCCGCGGUAAUUCCAGCUCCAAUAGCGUAUAUUAAAGUUGUUGCAGUUAAAAAGCUCGUAGUUGAAUUUCGGGAUUGACACAUCGGUCGUGCCUUAAGGGGUAUGAACUGGUGUAGUCAAUUUCUCACCUUCUGGAGAACCGCGAUGCCCUUAAUUGGGUGUCACGGGGAACCAGGACCUUUACUUUGAAAAAAUUAGAGUGUUUAAAGCAGGCAUUUUGCUUGAAUACAUUAGUAUGGAAUAAUAAAAUAGGACGGCAUGAUUCUAUUUUGUUGGUUUCUAGGAUCACCGUAAUGAUUAAUAGGGAUAGUUGGGGGCAUUAGUAUUCAAUUGUCAGAGGUGAAAUUCUUGGAUUUAUUGAAGACUAACUACUGCGAAAGCAUUUGCCAAGGAUGUUUUCAUUAAUCAAGAACGAAAGUUAGGGGAUCGAAGACGAUCAGAUACCGUCGUAGUCUUAACCAUAAACUAUGCCGACUAGGAAUCAGACGAUGUUAAUUUUUUAAUGACUCGUUUGGCACCUUACGGGAAACCAAAGUGU
rnacentral:rRNA from 1 species